rnacentral:rRNA from 1 species
CGUGUAGGCGGUUGGUCAAGUCUGGUGUGAAAGCCCGGGGCUCACCCCCGGAAGUGCAUCGGAAACUAGCCAGCUAGAGCGCGAUAGAGGAGGGUGGAAUUCCUGGUGUAGCGGUGAAAUGCGUAGAUAUCAGGAGGAACACCGGCGGCGAAGGCGGCCCUCUGGAUCGUUGCUGACGCUGAGACGCGAAAGCGUGGGGAGCAAACAGGAUUAGAUACCCUGGUAGUCCACGCUGUAAACGAUGGGUACUAGGUGUUCGGGGUAUUGACCCCCUGAGUGCCGCAGCUAACGCAUUAAGUACCCCGCCUGGGGACUACGACCGCAAGGUUAAA